rnacentral:misc_RNA from 1 species
GAUCCAAAGGAAGUUGAAAGUCACAGACUUUAUGGCCACAGUCUUCCUGCUGCUGAUGUCAACUACGAUCGUACGAGUCGAUACACAGGGAAUGUUAAUGGCGUGGAUGAUACAUCCUCGGAGAGUAGCUCAUCUUUGCAGGAUAAGUUAUUUUCUCAAAGUGAAGAUCCUCAUGAUGUCAAAACUUCUAGCUACGUAACACAGAAUGGAGCUAGCAGGCCAUCAAUUCCCAAGGGUGCCAAUAACAUGAGGUAUAAGCCAUCAGGCUAUUUGAAAGUGAAGGG